UGGAGGAGUAGCGAAGUCUGGCUAAACGCGGCGGACCGUAAAUCCGCUCCUUCGGGUUCGAUGGUUCAAAUCCAUUCUCCUCCAU
rnacentral:tRNA from 1 species